UGGAAAAGCUUUUAGAUGAUGAGUAACCAGAUAGGGACAACAGAUAUUCGUUUAAGUGACGAGGAAAGUCUUUUAAUUGCCCAGUUUUUAGUAGAGCUUGGGCGCACUCUGAUUUUAGUUCCA
rnacentral:snoRNA from 1 species